rnacentral:lncRNA from 1 species
AAAUCAAUAUAGAAUAGGAAAUGAGGGCGGCAGCGUCUAAUCCAAUUCCAAGGUCUGAGAAGUUGCGCAGUGCUCAACAAGCACACACAUCCCGUUAGUGAGAAGUUGUGGCUAAGAAUGAGAUAAGUUUUUUUUUCUAGUUUAUAUGCAAUAUUUUUUCUAGUGGCUACUAGUUGUUAGGACAGAAAUACUUCUUACUUGGGUCUAGCUACUUAAUACACAGAACAGUCAGGUAUUUCUUUAGGCCUAGGGUUACUGUGAAAAAAAGCAUUGAGACAUUAAGGGCAUGAUAAACAGACAAGGUUAGAAACUCCCGGGCUAGGUGAUGAGCUGUCAUGAAAUCUUUCUCAUUUCAAGCGCACAACUUCAUAUUGUUGCCUUUUCAUAGACCCAGGGGUGUGUGUUUCUGUGCAUUUGUGGAUAACCUGAAAACGUCGUCUAGAUUUUGUAACUGGGAGGGUCCCCAACCUGCCUGACCAUUAGGAUCACCUGGGGGAACUUUGCAAAAAUAGUUCCCUGGCCUCUGCCCAGGGGAUUCUAAUUCAGUGGGUCUGACAUUUGAAUCUGAGUUCAAAGAUCUCUGCUCCAACUCGCAUUCUUUCAGGCAGCCAGGAUGGCCCAAGUGGAGCCGGCCUGCCCAGAUUUGGGGGUCCUAGUUGUUAUACGUUGUGCCUGGGGCCAGGCUGUGUGGCUUUUUCGGAUCCCCAAGACUGGGAAGGGGCGUGGAGCACGUGUCCGUUGGAACCCUGGGGGAGGUCGGUGCUGGAAGCGCUCAUCUCCACCUCCAGUCUGGGUGCGCUGCGUGAGUGACCCGAAAGGAAGAUGAUUCUUGCCGUAGGAAGCCCCUGCCAGGACAGUCACCACCUCCCAGGCCCAGUGGACUCGGACCCGAGCGUCCUCCGGGAGGGUUUCUGGGGCGUGGCGGCUGAGCGCGGUUCGGGGAGACGCGGCCGGGAGGUGGCAGCAGCGGCCCUCUGGCAGACACGGUGCGUGCCGGGGGGCGGGGACGCGGGCGGCUCCGGGCGGGCGUGGUCCCUCUUGCGGGCGCCUGGGCUGGUCGGGCGGAUCCCGGAGAGGGGGAGCCGCGGGGACGCAGCGACAGACUCGGGGUGCUGGCAGCGGCAGCCCACGCCUCCCAGGGAUUGCAGGCCUGGGCGCCGGGGUUGGACCAGUCUCCCGGGCAUGGCACGCCCUGGUUAUUCUGUACCCGUGAUUUGUGGCGGGGCAAGACGUUAAGUUGGGUGACACCGAGGUGAGCCACGGUCCUCGGCACCAGAUGAGGAACCACUGUCUCAAUAAGGUGUGACAUGGAAAAUGUGUGUGUCUUAUGUGUGACUGAAAAAUACCUCCUUUGCUGACGUCUAAAAUUUCACUAUUAGAGAUGCAUUCUUUUGUCCUAAAGAUUAUUCUCUAUUCAAGGCCCUGGGAGGGAGCAGUGCAUUAGAACUUGAACUCUUUAGGGUGAGAAUGAUUUAAUCUUAUCUUUGUCGGCGAGGGAAGGGUUAGCCCUCAGUGCUCAAGACACAAAGAGGACUGAAGGCGCAUUAAUUGGUACUUGCUAAUCAAGCCUUAGAGACCAGAGCACUCCAGGGGAAUUUUACUUUGGAGAGAAAUCUCAUUGGCCCUGGAGCAGCCCUGUAUCCACUUUGUGAAUGUUUUAGAGAGGGUUAAUGGGGUACUAGCACAGUGUGAUUAGUUCAGUUCAUUGGAUUAUCAUUUUGUAAAAGAGGCAGCAUCUUUACUAGUACUCUAAUAAAUUAUAAAAUUAUUAUAUCCAUUUCUGUUCCUUGUACCUUCUUUCUUUGAAUUAAGAAAAUGGUGUGGUAAGGUACAGUGAACUUUUGAGCCAGAAAUUCCUGGCUUGGAGACCCCUCUCUGCCAUCUGUUGACUGGCUCUGUAAUUCUGGAAAACACCCUUUCUAAACUUCAGUUUUCUCAUCUGUAAAAUGGGAAAAAUGCUGCCUACUUGGAUGGUGAUUGUGAGCAUUAAAUUAAAUUCUGGAGGGAAAAUAUCUGGUAUUUGUGUACUGAUUUCAGGUCUCAGUGCUGUGUGUGUAAUGGUUACCGUGAGAGCUUCCCUGCAAUCCGAAUUUGUGUGUCUCAUUCUCAGUGACACCAGUGAUGCUGUUAAACAAGGACAAUCCGGUUCAUGGAUUGUGACAACGCACGCUGACAUCAAGCAGACCCUGCCGUCAGGUACAGAGGGCACCACAGUGACCAGGAACUGCUGUCCUUUCAUACCAGGUUUUAGGAGGCUUUACCAGAAGGAAUGGAAAAUGCUGGUGGGCAGUAAGAUUGAAACAGCAUCUGAGGACUGGUUCUGCACAAAACCUUAAAUUCUUCAAGGACUUUGACAUUUGUUUAUUCUUGUAACAAAUUAAAACCUAUCCUGUGUGUUGGUUAGAGAUCUUCAAACUGUAAAUACCUUGAGGCAGGAGUGAGGUUUUUAUCUUUUAAAGGACAGGCCCCUACUCUCCUACGUAAUGAGUUUCUAAAAAUGGAUGUGAGCACCAAUCAAUAUUUCUCUGGUUGUUAAAGUCAAGAAUAAAAUGGUAUUUUUAAGCUCGCAACUGUGUAGGAUGAAUUCUGUACACUUUUAUUUCCCUCUGUUCUCCUUUCCUAUUUGAAAGUUUAUUAGUUUGUGGACUUGGGAUCGGAUUAUUCAUGCAUUAUUUUUUGAUGUUGUAUGUCUCUUGGUUCUUGGGUAUUUUUGACACAUAUUCUGUCUUGUAACCAUAGUUAAACAAUUGUUUUAGACCAACUCUCUGUGUGUAAUUGGCUUCAACACUCACUGCUAGUCCUUUGACGCUCUGUUUUUUUCCAUUCUUGAGUAAUUUUAAGUCAUCACUUGGGCAGUUGAAAUAUAUUUUAAAGUGAUUUAAAGAAUAUGUGAGUGGCAGACAUUCUGAACUCUUUUGGUUGUCUGUCCUCAAAAACUAAAACUUAUUUGUGAGUAAAAUUUUCAUCUAAGUGUUUUCCAUAUAAAAACUCUGUCAGCUACUGCUCCAUUGUAGUAGACACAAAAAAGUCAGCACAAUUUUCAUCCCUCCCUCCCUCCCUUCUCUUCCCCUUCCCCUUCUUGCCCUCCUUCCUUCCUUCCUUCUUUCCUUCCUUCCUUCCUUCCUUCCUUCCUUCCUUCCUUCCUUCCUUUUUCUUUUGUUUCUGAAUGUACAAAGAAAACACUUAAAAAUUUGCUUGUAAUUUAAAAACUUGUCAGGAUAUUUCUGGAUUUGAGUGUUUCUUGGUUACUUUUACCUGGAACCUGGUGAACUGAGUCCAUUCCUCUGUUUGCCCUUUCUGUACUUUUUUGGAAAGUUUUCUUUAAUUAUAUCUUCAAUUAUUGUUUCUCUUUUGAUUGUUCUAGAUUCUUCUUCAGAAACAUAACUCUUAGGCUCAAUCUCUAUUCCUGGUCUUCCAUAGCUAUCGUCUUCUUUUUAAAGUACUGUAUUUUAUUGAAUCUAAGCUAGUAUUUGUUGUAAGAAGCACUAUUAUUAUAUGUACAACUAAGGAAGAAAAAAUGCUGCCAAUUAAACUGUGACAUAAUGCCAUGAUUACAGUCCUGUGAAAUUGGUAAGUUGCUCACACCAUUCUCUCUCUUAUUUUGAUAGACUUCAUCUAUUUUGAGGGACUUGGCAGUUGCUCCUGCCUUUGGUUGCAUUGUUUGGCAUGUGACAGGCAAUUCUUUUUGCAUGAGUCUCAGUUACAAAACAUAACACAGUUUCUACUUAAGGAUACCUUCUUUUCUUGGGUCCUGUCAAGCACUUAGUUUAAAAAAAAAAAAAGAAUUGCAGUGGUUGGUCCAAUAAUAGACAUUUGCUUCAGUAAUAUCAAAUUACAUCCUGCUGCUUGAAUUCCAUGCCUUUCUGCAUACAUAAUAACUUCUCAUUUCAAUGCCAAACCAUAGUGUAAUCUUUUAAAAGACAUUUUAAAUGGCAAUUAAACUCACAUGUAAUUGCAACAAUGUAUACAACUCAAUUAAAGUGCUAACAACAUGAACAACUGAGACCAAGUUCACCCAUGCCCAGGUCUUGAUGACCUCACCAUGGCAGCUCCCUGGCCCAGGGUGAUUAUAAGAUGCCAGUGAUUGCAAGACUUGGCCUGAUUUCAGAAGUGAUGAUGUGGCAACACAGACAUCUUAGAAUUAAGGAAAUAGUUUUAAUUCUUGGUGCUCUUUCUUGGCAUUCUGAAAGUGUUCCUCCAGUUUGCCAUCUAAGAUAUUCCUUAGUUUUCUGCCAUGUCCAUUUCACUCAUUUACUCCUUCCUAUAUGACUUUUAAUUAUUGUUUAAUAAUUUAAUUUUCUUGGGAAUAUCUUUCUCUUGUUACAACCAGUUUCCUUUAUAUCUUUUCUUGGACUCCAUUGGCCAAAUUCUCUUUCAUAAGCCUGAAGCCCCUAAUAUUUACCCUGAGACUGUAUUCUAGUUAGUAGAAUGUGAAUGGAGGUGAUGUGUGUGACAUAUAGGACUUCCCCAUAAGAGCCUUUAAUGAGUUGUCCUCUGUUCUCUUUCCCCUCUUCCAGCUGAGUGCCAUGAGAGGACAGUGACAACCUUGGGGCCUCAUGGUGAAGGUGGCAGAAACUUUGUUAGCCUGGGUGCUCAGGGUGGACAGCUGCUCUUGCCAACCGGGAACAUUUGCCUUGAGCUCUUUUGUAAGUGACAGAUAAGCUUUUAUUGUACUUCAGCCAAGAUACAAACAUUGGACGUAUUUGUACAGCAGCUAAAGGUACUAUAAUAAUACAUAUUCUGAAAUCACUAUGUACCCUAAAAUAUUUUAACAAAAUUCUUGCAAUAUUUGUAUGAGAACUGCUGGAUUUUGCUUUCUUACCAAAUUUGCUGUUGCUACUGAAAAAAGAGAAUAACUUGGACAAUGAAAUGAUCUCAAAUGAGGUAAUAAAAUCAUUACUGAAUUUUAACAGUCCCAUCAUUUCUGCCAAAAAAAAGAAGCAGCUUUAGAAUGCCAUUCUUCUCCAGUGGGUGUGUGCUGGUCUGAUUUGCUCGGACGUUUGCAGAGGGAAGAACACUUACAAGUAGUAAGGGGCUGAAGUCUGAGUGGAUCAUAUCUGAAUAUUGUUUAAUAUUGUUUUAGAUGACAUAUUUUUUAAAACUCCACUCUUCUAGCUAACUGCUUUCUCUUGAUAUCCUAAAAGUUUUGCUUCACUGUUUAUUUUAAAAGAAUCACAAUUAGGUCUAACAUAAACAAGGGAGCCGGCCCCCCAUCACACUUUUGUAAGAACCUAAAAUGUCAUCUCACAUGCCAGUCUUUGAAGCUUA